rnacentral:rRNA from 1 species
ACCGCCCUAGUUCUGACCGUAAACUAUGCCAUCUAGCGAUCCGAUGGGGUAUUGUUGCCUUGUCGAGGAGCUUCCCGGAAACGAAAGUCUUUCGGUUCCUGGGGUAGUAUGGUUGCAAAGCUGAAACUUAAAGAAAUUGACGGAAUGGCACCACCAGGAGUGGAGCCUGCGGCUUAAUUUGACUCAACACGGGAAAACUCACCCGGCCCGGACACCGUAAGGAUUGACAGAUUGAAAGCUCUUUCUCGAUUUGGUGGUUGGUGGUGCAUGGCCGUUCUUAGUUGGUGGAGCGAUUUGUCUGGUUUAUUCCGAUAACGAGCGAGACUCUAGCCUGCUAAAUAGUGGCUGGAUUUUCACGUCCAGUCUACUUCUUAGAGGGAUAAGCGGUGUUUAGCCGCACGAGAUUGAGCGAUAACAGGUCUGUGAUGCCCUUAGAUGUCCGGGGCUGCACGCGCGCUACAAUGGAAGAAUCAGCUGGCCUAUCCAUUGCCGAAAGGCAUUGGUAAACCGUUGAAACUCUUCCGUGACCGGGAUAGGGAAUUGUAAUUAUUUCCCUUGAACGAGGAAUUCCUAGUAAGUGUGAGUCAUCAGCUCACGCUGAUUACGUCC